rnacentral:rRNA from 1 species
UACGUAGGGGGCAAGCGUUGUCCGUAUUUAUUGGGCGUAAAGAGCGUGUAGGCGGUUUGGUAGGUCCGUUGUGAAAACUCGAGGCUCAACCUCGAGCCGCCGAUGGAAACCAUCUGGCUAGAGUCCGGAAGAGGAGUGUGGAAUUCCCGGUGUAGCGGUGAAAUGCGCAGAUAUCGGGAAGAACACCCGUGGCGAAGGCGGCACUCUGGGACGGUACUGACGCUGAGACGCGAAAGCGUGGGGAGCGAACAGG